AGAGUUUGAUCAUGGCUCAGGAUGAACGCUAGCUACAGGCUUAACACAUGCAAGUCGAGGGGCAGCAUGGUCUUAGCUUGCUAAGGCCGAUGGCGACCGGCGCACGGGUGAGUAACACGUAUCCAACCUGCCGUCUACUCUUGGACAGCCUUCUGAAAGGAAGAUUAAUACAAGAUGGCAUCAUGAGUCCGCAUGUUCACAUGAUUAAAGGUAUUCCGGUAGACGAUGGGGAUGCGUUCCAUUAGAUAGUAGGUGGGGUAACGGCCACCUAGUCUUCGAUGGAUAGGGGUUCUGAGAGGAAGGUCCCCCACAUUGGAACUGAGACACGGUCCAAACUUCUACGGGAGGCA
rnacentral:rRNA from 1 species